UACGUAGGGUGCGAGCGUUGUCCGGAAUUAUUGGGCGUAAAGAGCUCGUAGGCGGUCUGUCGCGUCUGCUGUGAAAUCCCGAGGCUCAACCUCGGGCUUGCAGUGGGUACGGGCAGGCUAGAGUGCGGUAGGGGAGAAUGGAACUCCUGGUGUAGCGGUGGAAUGCGCAGAUAUCAGGAAGAACACCGAUGGCGAAGGCAGUUCUCUGGGCCGUAACUGACGCUGAGGAGCGAAAGCGUGGGGGAGCGAACAGG
rnacentral:rRNA from 1 species